UGUUAAAAUUUUCAUUAAUUUUUACUGUUAAAAAUUAGUAUAGCUGACAGAAUAAUCAGACAGUUAUAUAUGACCGUGCUGUACGUAUCUUAUGUUGACGUACAAAGACCACUUUUUAACAAUAGAAAGGGAUAGAAUUUUUAACA
rfam:Gossypium arboreum cultivar AKA8401 contig_16718_1, whole genome shotgun sequence.